GAGGACUGGCAAAGCUGCCGCACCUGGAAGUCCCGCCACCACCGAUAGGUUCGGUUUUUUAUGAUUUUUCAACCAACCGAGGCCCCUAAUAUGUUUUUCUAUAGGGAUACUACCAAAACUGCCCAAAAAGGGCCAAAACCAACUAGGAAAAGGUGAAUCACCAUUGUGGAUGGCGGAAUCAGCGCCAAAGCACGGUGGCGCGGCCAUGCUGGAAUCCCAAAAUUGGCCGGAAUCAGUUUUGGACAU
rnacentral:lncRNA from 1 species